GGAAUAAAUAGAUAGUUGAGUAGUCUGAUUGGAUAUAAAUAUGUGAUAGAGGUAAUGAUUGUAGUGCUGUGCAGUGGCGUGUUGGCGUAGCCGGACAGCACGAUAGCGCCACUGACAGCGCAGGUGUGGGCCGCGUGCUCCCGGGGACUGAGCACUCAAACAGCCUGUGCGUGUGAGGGAGGCCAGGAACGCGGCUGCUAACUCGGGAAAUCUCAAGCCCCCAUGCAGACGAGGAAGUCACACCCUUGCGCUGGAUGUAGUGUCGUACCCGAGGGACGGACUCUUACGUUUCCACAUCUUCUGGCCACCUCAAGCACGUGUCUGCCUCCAUCCUCCUCCAGGACCUGUCCUCUUCGAUGGACGUCAUCUCUUCAAUUUGCUCACUUUGGGACUGAGGACAUUCCUCUUUUAGCGGACCACUGACGAGAUGUUUGUGUACGGAUUCCUGACAACGUUGCUGUUCUUUCUUAGCUUAUGUGAUUCAAAACGUCCAAUGCCUUCACUUUCCUAUGAAGAUCAGCUUGUGAAAGAAAUCCUACACAAAUACCGCGUGCGAGGCAAAUAUGGCCGUCCAGUCCGGCGUUUCAAUGACACCCUGAAGGUUGCUUUUGGAAUACAAUUGAUACAGAUCAUGGAUUUGAAUGAGAAAGACCAGAUACUGACUUUGAACGUAUGGGAUCAGUAUGGAUGGAGAGAUGACGAUGUUGAAUGGAACAUGACAAAAUAUGGAGGCGUGGAUAAAGUCCGCAUUCCCUGGAGCAAGGUUUGGUUGCCCGACAUCAAACUGUACAACUAUGCUGACCAUCGCCUGGACGAGCAGCGCAAGUCCCUGUGUGUGUUCCACCACGAUGGCCAGAUACUGUGGAUGCCCCAGGCUGUGUACCGCAGUUCCUGCCAAAUUGACGUGACCAAAUUUCCAUUCGAUGUACAAUCUUGUCAUUUGAAAUUUGGGUCGUGGACCUACAAUGGACAUAAGAUAGAUGUGGUUUUCUUUGCCAAUAAAGACUACAUAGAUCUCACUGAGUACGUGACUAGUAACGCCUGGAAGAUCAUCGAUGUGCCUGCUAAUAAAAACAUCAAGUACUACAGCUGCUGCCCUGAGCCUUAUGUGGACCUGACCUUCAGUUUGAUCUUCCAGAGACGAGCCACCCUGUAUAACUACAUCCUGAUCCUGCCGUGUGUCCUUCUCACCUCCAUCACCCUCAUCCUCUUCUGGAUUCCCCCAGAAUCACCCGCAAAGAUGCAACUUGGUCUUACCAUCUUCAUAGCCUUUUUCAUCCUGCUGAAACUUUUGGAGAAAAAUUUGCCACCCGGUACAACGAAAAUGCCGGUACUAGGUAUCUACUACUGCCUCAACAUGGUGAUCAUUACUCUGUCCUCCUUCCUCAACGUUCUGGUGGUCAACCUUGCAGCAUAUGGUCAGCGUGCUAACCUUCCCGCCCCUGCAAAAUCUGUACUGUUUGACGUGUGUGCAAAGGUCCUCCUGAUGAACGAUCUAGUGCGGCCCUUCAAACCGGAUUCCUCCAAACCAGCGACAAUCGUGAAAGACAAACUGGGAGAAAUUGACAACAAGUGGAGCGAUGAUCCAAUGGCGUCGACGGAGGUUCUCGUGCACCUGCAGAAAGAAUCCAAUCUAGCUCCGCCCCCGGGGCCACCCGUGGACAACACGUUACGUCAAUCAACGGGACUCUUGGUCGCCAUUGACACAAAACUAUCGGACUUGCGCGACUUCAUACAGGGGCACAAGCAGCGCCUUUCCGACAAGGACAAGCGGGAGCGCCUCGUGAAAGAAUGGAAGGCUAUUGCCCUCAUUCUGGACAGAAUCUUCUUUGUUAUAUACUUUGGCAUUAUCGUUGCAUCACUUGCUGUCAUCAUUCCAAUCAUCACCUUCAGUGGCCAGUACACGAACACGACACUGGCAGAGGCUUUGCCACAUACGUGAGAAUCGUUGUCUCUGAAUUCUUUCUGAAAACAUUUCCACCAGAUGCCAAAUUGCUUCAUGGUUUUGUCUAAAAUGUUAAGGUGGAUAACAUGAUGUUUACGAACUCUUCCAAACAUAAUGACAAUAGUUAGAUAUGCAUAUAUAUUUAUGUAGCGGUAUCAUUAUGUAAAAGAUCGUUUAUGCAUAAAAAUAACUCAUGCAUCAUUGAAACAUCUUUAUAUACACCAGUGCGUUCGUUAUGUAUUGUCUUUAAGCAAGCAAACGCUUGAGAAUGAGGUGAUAAAAGUUGACAUUUUAAGGUAAGGUGAUACGUUGAUCCACAAUGUAUAGAGAGACAUGUAUUUAAAAAUGGUGCACAAGAACAUUGGUUUUGAAGAAAUUCAUAAAUAGGUAUCCAAGAUGUGCCUACCAUUGUGCCAGUCUUAACGUCAGGCAACUGGAAGGACAUAGUCACUUGAUUCGAUCCUAAGAUUCUAUUUAAGCAUGAUCAAAGAUAACCACAGGCACAGACAGAUGGACACAACUGCAUAUGUGACAUAGCUGGUAACUAUACAACCUAUAUGACAACACCACACGGCCAGGCACGCGCACAGGCACAGGAAGAUGGACGAACCAAUAUCUCCGAUACGUUGUGUUGUGAUCUCGACAAGCUAUAUGACAACACCACACGCCCAGGAACAGGAAGAUGGACGAAGCAAUGUCCCUUCUAUGUUGUGUUGCGAUCUCUACAAGUUCUAUGACAACACCACACUCACAGGCACAGGAAGAUGGACGAAGCAAUGUCCCUUCUAUGUUGUGUUGUGAUCACUACAAGCUCUACGACAACACCACACUCACAGGCACAGGAAGAUGGACGAAUAAAUAUCCCUUCUAUGUUGUGUUGUGAUCACUACAAGCUCUACGACAACACCACACUCACAGGCACAGGAAGAUGGACGAAUAAAUAUCCCUUCUAUGUUGUGUUGUGAUCUCUACAAGUUCUAUGACAACACCACACUCACAGGCACAGGAAGAUGGACGAAGCAAUGUCCCUUCUAUGUUGUGUUGUGAUCACUACAAGCUCUACGACAACACCACACUCACAGGCACAGGAAGAUGGACGAAUAAAUAUCCCUUCUAUGUUGUGUUGUGAUCUCUACAAGUUCUACGACAACACCACACUCACAGGCACUGGACGAUGGACGAAUAAAUAUCCCUUCUAUGUUGUGUUGCGAUCACUACAAGCUCUAUUACAACACCACACUCACAGGCACAGGAAGAUGGACGAAUAAAUAUCCCUUCUAUGUUGUGUUGUGAUCACUACAAGCUCUACGACAACACCACACUCACAGGCACAGGACGAUGGACGAAGCAAUGUCCCUUCUAUGUUGUGUUGUGAUCACUACAAGCUCUACGACAACACCACACUCACAGGCACAGGACGAUGGACGAAGCAAUGUCCCUUCUAUGUUGUGUUGCGAUCUCUACAAGUUCUAUGACAACACCACACUCACAGGCACAGGACGAUGGACGAAUAAAUAUCCCUUCUAUGUUGUGUUGUGAUCUCUACAAGUUCUAUGACAACACCACACUCACAGGCACAGGAAGAUGGACGAAGCAAUGUCCCUUCUAUGUUGUGUUGUGAUCACUACAAGCUCUACGACAACACCACACUCACAGGCACAGGAAGAUGGACGAAGCAAUGUCCCUUCUAUGUUGUGUUGUGAUCACUACAAGCUCUACGACAACACCACACUCACAGGCACGGGAAGAUGGACGAAUAAAUAUCCCUUCUAUGUUGUGUUGUGAUCUCUACAAGUUCUACGACAACACCACACUCACAGGCACAGGACGAUGGACGAAUAAAUAUCCCUUCUAUGUUGUGUUGCGAUCACUACAAGCUCUAUUACAACACCACACUCACAGGCACAGGAAGAUGGACGAAUAAAUAUCCCUUCUAUGUUGUGUUGUGAUCACUACAAGCUCUACGACAACACCACACUCACAGGCACAGGACGAUGGACGAAGCAAUGUCCCUUCUAUGUUGUGUUGUGAUCACUACAAGCUCUACGACAACACCACACUCACAGGCACAGGACGAUGGACGAAGCAAUGUCCCUUCUAUGUUGUGUUGCGAUCUCUACAAGUUCUAUGACAACACCACACUCACAGGCACAGGACGAUGGACGAAGCAAUGUCCCUUCUAUGUUGUGUUGUGAUCACUACAAGCUCUACGACAACACCACACUCACAGGCACAGGACGAUGGACGAAGCAAUGUCCCUUCUAUGUUGUGUUGCGAUCUCUACAAGUUCUAUGACAACACCACACUCACAGGCACAGGACGAUGGACGAAGCAGUGUCCCUUCUGUGUUGUGUUGCGAUCACUACAAGCUCUACGACAACACCACACUCACAGGCACAGGACGAUGGACGAAGCAGUAUUCUCAAAACCACACACCCAGACACAGGAAGAUUGACUUACCUAUAUCCCCGAUACGCUGCGUUGUGAUCUACACAAGCCAACACCACAGGCACAGACAUAUGGACACACCCACAUCUACGAACAAUGUACUGUUGUCUGUACAUUCAAACUACAUGCGACAGGCACAGGCAGAUGGAGUUAUAGACCUCGGCACCUAUACAAUACAGGCUUUUUGAUAACUGAUGGACACCCUGCAGUAUCUACCGUAACCAAUGUGCAUUAUCCAGAACCGAAGCUGAAAGGGUUGGGAAGGGAUAUGGGUCCUUCCCUCUUCUAAUCGCAAGACCGGGUAUAAUACGGGGCCUGCUACUUCUACUGAUCAACUUUUUAUAAGUGAAUUAUAAUAACAUUUUUUUACAAAUGACGUUUUUCCAUUUUAGUUAGCCAUAUUCUUGUCAUCAAAUUGAUUGUGUGCCAUAACUUUUCCGUGGAGUCUUUUACAUAUUCUAGCAACUAGAUAAAGAACAUUACGUUUACUAAUUCUUUCUUCGGACACUCUUACAUAUUACUUAUAACUUAGUGGGUGAUGUAGAUAAAUCUAACAUUAUAACACUUUAUAGCUUAAUGUGAAACGCCCUAAAUCUGGACAGUAGCAUUCUCAGGGAGUCGUCCAGUUAAAUAAUUGUUCGAGUUUGUCCGAAUCAUGGCAAUCAGUGUAUACAUGUAAGCGCACCAAGUAGUUACCAUCCGGGGUGUGGGGUUUUGGUAUCGACAGGGUCCAGAUUACUGAGGUUUAUGGUGAUAGAAGUAGCCCAAGGGUAAUGAUUUCAAUGGGUACAAUAUCAAUUCUGAUGUUAGCGUUGAUACAACGCUGUAGAUGUAUUAUUGCCUGACAUUGAUGUAAGUGUUUAUACAAGGAUGUAGAUGUGUUAUCGCUUGACACUGAUAUGUGUAUUUCAUAGGGAGGGGCCAUCUGAUGUUGGCCUUGACAUCAUAUAUUACACGGGGGAUGGAAAUAACAUGGCACUUUGAUGUAGUAUACGGUAUUUUGUGUUCAUAGAACAUUAAUAAUCAGUUUAUCAUUUAAGCACCUAUAUAAGUCACAUGGACCCAGGGCACUUUGCCCCUGAGGAUAUGAAUAAAACAAGGCCCUGCACACAGUAAUUGGUCAGCUCUAGAACAAUAAGACAAACACUCUGUAAACUUGACAAUUGCAGAUCUUGGGGCUCUGUGUAUAUUAACUGGUCAGCUCUAGAUCACAAGUCAAACAUACUGGACAAAUCUGAGCCGUGUAAUUCUUCGGACAGUCUUCGGACAGUCUUCGGACAGUUUUCGGACAAUCUUCGGACAGAGAACUGUCACCCUGACAUUUGUUCAAGGAGACGGGACCGGUCAGCAGAUGGUUCCGAUGUGUAAACACAGUUCAGUUGCGAUUCCAUAUCUACGACGAGGCCGUGUUUCUUAUUAUGGAACUGUGUAUAUUGAUGGUAUAACCUCUCUCUAAGCUGCUAUUCAGUUAUUCAACAUUCUACGUUAAAUGUCUGUAUGUACGCUUUAUUCCUUGGAGACAAGCAAUUGAGAUAUACAGCGCGAAAUUCUUUGUUUCCGCUAGAACAGUAAAUCAUGUGCUUCAACAUUCCUAGAUUUCUUUCCGAUAAGUUCCGAUGUUUUAGUUAUUCAUUUGCCGAGCAUACCGUAUUGCAGUCUGUCAUACUUAGCUGCCACUGUGCCUCAACGCCCACCCACACCACCUCCACCCACCCCUUCUCCACGCACCCACAACGCCCACCAUCCCCUCUCAACGCACCCACACCACCCAGUCAGCCCGGUCAGUCUUUCUCAGUAACAAUUUUAUGAUGCGGUCGUUCUUAUCCGUUGCCAUAUCUUACAUCACUCUUAGCGACGUUAGGGUCCUUAUCACACAUAUCUCUGUCCGACCUCUUUGGGUCCUCAUCACACAUCACUCUGUCCGACAUCUGUGAAUCCUUAUCACACAUCACUCUGUCCGACAUCUGUGAGUCCUUAUCACACAUCACUCUGUCCGACAUCUGCGGUAUCUGUGACACAUCAGCGGGUUCAUGUCACACAUCACUUAGUCCAACAUCUGCGGGUUUAUAUCACACAUCACUCUGACCGACAUGUGUUGGUUCAUUUCAUACAUUACUUUACCUGACAACUGAGGGUUACAAUUACACAUCACGUUUCCAAACAUCUGCGGUUCAAAUCAUACAUUACACUCUCCGUCAUUUGCGGAUUCAUAUCAAACAUCAAUUUACCCGACAUCUGCGGGGUUCAUAACACACAUUGCUUUACCCGACAUCUGCGGGUGCAUAUCACACAUUGCUUUAUCCGACAUCUUCGGGUUCAGAUCACACAUUACUUUACCCGACAUCUGCGGGUGCAUAUCUCACAUUACUUUACCCAUUAUCUGCGGGUUCAUAUGACACAUCGCUUUACCCGACAUCUGCGGGUUCAUAUCACACAUUGCUUUACCCGACAUCGGCGGAUUCAUAUCCUACAUUGCUUUACCCGACAUCUGUGGGUUUAUAUCACACAUCGCUUUACCCGACAUCGGCGGGUUCAUAUCACACAUUACGUUACCCAUUAUCUGCGGGUUCAUAUCCUACAUUGCUUUAACCGACAUCUGCGGGUUCAUAUCCUACAUUGCUUUAACCGACAUCUGCGGGUUCAUAUCACACAUUGCUUUAACCGACAUCUGCGGGUUCAUAUCACACAUUGCUUUUACCGACAUCUGUGGGUUUAUUUCACACAUUGCUUUACCCGACAUCUCAGGGUUUAUUUCACAUAUUGCUCUACCCGACAUCUGCGGGUUCAUAUCACACAUUGCUUUACCCGACAUCUGCGGGUUCAUAUAACACAUUGCUUUACCCAUCAUCUGCGGGUUCAUAUCACACAUUGCUUUACCCGACAACUGCGGGUUCAUAUCACAUAUUGCUUUACCCGACCUAUGUGGGUUCAUAUCACAAGUAACUCUGUCCGUCAUCUGCGGGUUCAUAUCACACCCGUCCUUCGUUACCAUGUCAUACAAAUCUUCAUUAUCCGUCCUUUUCAGCAUAAUAUCGCAAUACAAUAUCACGCAUAUCACACAAUCCACUAUCACACAUCCCACACAUUAAGAUAUCACACAUCCCACACGUUACAAUAUCCCACAUCCCACACAAAACAAUGUCACACAUCACACUCAGUACAAUAUCACAUAUAUCACACAAUACACGUUACCAUGUGAAAGAUUAAACACAAUACCACGACGACGAGAUAUGUUAGCCCGUGGAUAUUUCAACUGUUAAUACAAAUAGUACUCCAACACAAUUCCCCCCAUCAUCAAAUCUGUAUCACGUAAAACUCCGCAGUAUACCUGACAUUUACCACGACACCAUAUCCUGACCCAUGACACCCUGUCGUAUGAUAUAAUUUGGACGCCAGACAACCUGUACUCUACUACCAUAUGUCACAACACAAUGCGCCGUGUGCAAUGUAAAACCCAAGACACCCUGUGUUGAACUGCCGAACACCACAACACACCCUGCUUUAUGCAAUAUUUAGUCUCAAGACAACCUAUUUUACACACGGACCCCUGUCGUACACUAUUAUCCGGACAAUGCGCCCUUUCCUACACCAUCCUUAUGGCAGACACUAUUGUAUGCUGUCAUAUGUCACAAGUCACCCGGUCAUCACCAUUGCAAGACAUCCUGCCCAAUACUACCAUGUGCCUCAAAACGCCAUGUCCUAUACUUUGCUGUAUACUAUCAUUUAACUGAAGACACCCUGUCCUGAUCUGUCUUGUGUCACAACACACCCUGUCCUACUCGACUAUGUGGCUCGAUUCACUUUGUCCUAUAACCCAUGUCUGUAUGCAUGUCACUCGGAGCACUUUACCACCAACACUUGCCAAAGAUCACAUUAUUGCUGAUUAUGUAUCAUACUUGCAAAACAGUUAUUAAAUGGUGCUAGAUCUA
rnacentral:misc_RNA from 1 species